ensembl:lncRNA
GUUCAGAAGAAGGGUGAGCAAAGAGAGAAACGAGACGGGAGGUGGUUCAGAAGAAGGGUGAGCAAAGAGAGAAACGAGAGGUGGUUCAGAAGAAGGGUGAGCAAAGACAAAAACGAGACGGGAGGUGGUUCAGAAGAAGGGUGAGCAAAGACAAAAACGAGACGGGAGGUGGUUCAGAAGAAGGGUGAGCAAAGACAAAAACGAGACGGGAGGUGGUUCAGAAGAAGGGUGAGCAAAGAGAAAAACAAGACGGGAGGUGGUUCAGAAGAAGGGUGAGCAAAGAGAGAAAUGUGACAGGAGGUCUGGUGAGCAGUAGCUAAGUUAGAAUUUUUUGGGGGUGUAAAUUUUUUUUUUUAAAUGUCCAGAACGUGAUCUGGAUCAGUAGCUUUGAGAAAGAAUAUCCAUACUUGGUCGGGCGGGGUCGAAAACUCUGUAUUCACAGCCACAGCCAAAAAUGAAAGUGUCCUCCCUAGACAGACAGAGCGAGAUGGAGACAGACAGAGCGAGAUGAGCCCUGCAGAGCUCCUGAGGGGGAACUGUGCAUCAUACAUUAAAAAGACCCCAUACAUAUUUAAUGACACCUUGAGCGCAUCAACACUGAAGCCCCC